GGUCCCUGUAUCAAUACCGGUAUAGAAGGUAAAGUAACAACCCAAACCGGUCCCUGUAUCAAUACCGGUAUAGAAGGUAAAGUAACAACCCAAACCGGUCCCUGUAUCAAUACCGGUAUAGAAGGUAAAGUAACAACCCAAACCGGUCCCUGUAUCAAUACCGGUAUAGAAGGUAAAGUAACAACCCAAACCGGUCCCUGUAUCAAUACCGGUAUAGAAGGUAAAGUAACAACCCAAACCGGUCCCUGUAUCAAUACCGGUAUAGAAGGUAAAGUAACAACCCAAACCGGUCCCUGUAUCAAUACCGGUAUAGAAGGUAAAGUAACAACCCAAACCGGUCCCUGUAUCAAUACCGGUAUAGAAGGUAAAGUAACAACCCAAACCGGUCCCUGUAUCAAUACCGGUAUAGAAGGUAAAGUAACAACCCAAACCGGUCCCU